rnacentral:rRNA from 1 species
GAUGCUAAUACCGGAUAACAACAGAUGAUGCCUAUCAACUGUUUAAAAGAUGGUUCUGCUAUCACUCUUGGAUGGACCUGCGGUGCAUUAGCUAGUUGGUAGGGUAACGGCCUACCAAGGCGAUGAUGCACAGCCGAGUUGAGAGACUGAUCGGCCACAUUGGGACUGAGACACGGCCCAAACUCCUACGGGAGGCAGCAGGC